AAUGGCAAAUGGCCAAUCCAAAACUAAUUAUCCAACAACCCACAACAAUCCAUUUAUCAUUAAAUCCCAACCCAACUUAUAUAUCCAUAAUCCAAAUCCAAUAUCCACGACAAUCCAUAUCCAUUUACCCAAAAUCGUUGAAUAUCAAAUACGCUGCUCUGUCGUCACUCGUCUCCAUCGCUCCGACAGUCCGACUAUCCACGACUUCGUCCGUCUCCACCGUCAGCCGUCAGCCCUAGGGAAACAACACGGCAACACCCACCGGCCACUGGCCACACAGACAAAGUACCGGUUCUGGAUAUUGGGGAUGGCGUAAUAGGCUGUGAGACUAUAGGGUGGGGACAUUGUAAUUUGUAAAGUGAACUACGGUCAGUGCGGUGAGGAGAAGAAGCAAAAUAUUGGAUUGAUUGUAUGUGGAUUGGACUGCGGUAGUGUGAAUUUCUAGAGGAAAGAUUCAAAUUUGGGGUAUCCAUACGGUCUUGAUUGAGUCUGUUUUAUGAUCUGUAGAGUUUCUGCUCAUCCGGGCGCCGAGAAUCACAAGACCGGCUCUGAAUUGA